rnacentral:rRNA from 1 species
UACAGAGGGUGCGAGCGUUUAAUCGGAAUUACUGGGCGUAAAGGGCGCGUAGGUGGAAAGACAAGUCGGAUGUGAAAUCCCCGGGCUUAACCUGGGAAUGGCAUACGAUACUGUUUAUCUAGAGUUGAAUAGAGGGAAGUGGAAUUUCCGGUGGAGCGGUGAAAUGCGUAGAUAUCGGAAGGAACACCGAUGGCGAAAGCAGCGUGCUGGACCUUUUCUGACGCUGAGGCGCGAAAGCCAGGGGAGCAAACGGG